GUUAGUGGCGGACGGGUGAGUAAAGCGCAAGAAUCUAGCUUUUGGUCGGGGACAACAGUUGGAAACGACUGCUAAUACCGCAUAACGUCUACGGACCAAAGAGGGGGAUUCUUCGGAACCUCUUGCCAUUUGAUUAGCCCAAGUGAGAUUAGCUAGUUGGUGAGGUAAUGGCUCACCAAGGCGACGAUCAGUAGCUGGUUUGAGAGGACGAUCAGCCACACUGGGACUGAGACACGGACCAGACUCCUACGGGAGGCAGCAGUGGGGAAUAUUGGACAAUGGGCGCAAGCCUGAUCCAGCCAUGCCGCGUGAGUGAUGAAGGCCUUAGGGUUGUAAAGCUCUUUCACCCACGACGAUAAUGACGGUAGUGGGAGAAGAAGCCCCGGCUAACUUCGUGCCAGCAGCCGCGGUAAUACGAAGGGGGCUAGCGUUGCUCGGAAUCACUGGGCGUAAAGGGCGCGUAGGCGGCCGAUCAAGUCAGGGGUGAAAGCCUGUGGCUCAACCACAGAAUUGCCUUUGAUACUGUUCGGCUCGAGACCGGAAGAGGUUGGUGGAACUG
rnacentral:rRNA from 1 species